CCCUUAGAUGUUCUGGGCCGCACGCGUGCUACACUGAGUGGAUCAGCGGGUCAGGUUGCGCGAAAGUGUUUCCUAAUCUUGAAAUCCGCUCGUGAUGGGGAUUGACGGUUGCAAUUUUCCGUCAUGAACGAGGAAUACCUUGUAAGCGCGGGUCAUCAUCCCGCGCUGAAUACGUCCCUGCACUUUGUACACACCGCCCGUCGCUCCUACCGAUUGAGUGGUCCGGUGAGGCUUUGGGAUCUGAGCGGAAAGAGCGUUUCGCUGUUUCUGCUCGGAAAACUCAGUCGAACCUUAUCAUUUAGAGGAAGGAGAAGUCGUAACA
rnacentral:rRNA from 1 species